UUUCCGUAGGUGAACCUGCGGAAGGAUCAUUACUGGAUUUUGAAACUUCAGGCUGCUGCUGGCUCUCCUCGGAGGGCAUGUGCACGCUUGUUGUCCAUUAUUUCUCCCACUGUGCGCAAAUUGUAGACCUUUCAGUAGGCCUAUGUUGUUUUUCACAAUCUCUGAAUGUAAUAGAAUGGUUUUGAAUCUUGGGAAAUACAAUACAACUUUCAGCAACGGAUCUCUUGGCUCUCACAUCGAUGAAGAACGCAGC
rnacentral:misc_RNA from 1 species